rnacentral:rRNA from 1 species
UCCUGGGUAGUAUUAGUUAUGUUCUUGAAACUUAAAAAAUUUGGCGGUAUUUUAGUCUAUUCAGAGGAACCUGUUCUAUAAUCGAUAAUCCACGAUGGACCUUACUUACUCUUGCUAAUCAGUUUAUAUACCGUCGUUAUCAGAAUAUUUUUAAAAAAAAAUAAUUUUCAAUAAAUUUUAUUGAUUGUAUAUCAGAUCAAGGUGUAGCUUAUGAGUAAGAAAGAAUGGGUUACAAUAAAGUUAUUUAAAUGGAUAUAGGUAUGAAAAGCUUAUUGAAGGUGGAUUUGAUAGUAAAAUUAUAAAGAUUAAUAAUUUGAUUCUAGCUCUAAAAUAUGCACACAUCGCCCGUCACUCUUAUUAUUAAAAUAAGAUAAGUCGUAACAUAGUAGAUGUACCGGAAGGUGUAUCUAGAAUGUCAAUUUAAAGCUUUAAGGAAGCAUUUCAUUUACAUUGAAAGGAUUAUUGUGCAAUUCAUUAUAAAUUGAAUAGAAUUUAUUUAUUAAAGUUAUUGGUUUAAAAAAUAAAAUAUUAAAAAUAAUUAUUGUGUUAAAUGUUUUAGUAUUGAAUAAAGAAAAAAUAAUAUAAAUUAUAGUGAAUUAGUAUUGUAAAAGAAUAUUGAAAUAAUUGAAAAA